rnacentral:rRNA from 1 species
UACGGGGGGUGCUAGCGUUGUUCGGAAUCAUUGGGCGUAAAGGGCGCGCAGGCGGUUUGAAUAGUCAGAUGUGAAAGCCCACGGCUUAACCGUGGAAGUGCAUUUGAAACUGUCAGACUUGAGUACCAGAGGGGAAAGUGGAAUUCCCGGUGUAGAGGUGAAAUUCGUAGAUAUCGGGAGGAAUACCGGUGGCGAAGGCGACUUUCUGGCUGGAUACUGACGCUGAGGCGCGAAAGCGUGGGGAGCAAACAGG